rnacentral:rRNA from 1 species
GGGAAUAGCUAUUAGCUUGAUCCUGGCUCCGGAGCACGGAGCUUGGUCUGGUGGCGAGUGGCGAACGGGUGAGUAAUAUAUCGGAACGUACCCUAGAGUGGGGGAUAACGUAGCGAAAGUUACGCUAAUACCGCAUACGAUCUAAGGAUGAAAGUGGGGGAUCGCAAGACCUCAUGCUCGUGGAGCGGCCGAUAUCUGAUUAGCUAGUUGGUAGGGUAAAAGCCUACCAAGGCAUCGAUCAGUAGCUGGUCUGAGAGGACGACCAGCCACACUGGAACUGAGACACGGUCCAGACUCCUACGGGAGGCAGCAGUGGGGAAUUUUGGACAAUGGGCGAAAGCCUGAUCCAGCAAUGCCGCGUGAGUGAAGAAGGCCUUCGGGUUGUAAAGCUCUUUUGUCAGGGAAGAAACGGUGAAAGCUAAUAUCUUUUGCUAAUGACGGUACCUGAAGAAUACAGCACCGGCUAACUACGGGCCAGCAGCCUUGCGGUACACUACGCGACGGUAGACAACUCGUUAGACUCGGAGAUUACUGGGCAUAAUUUCCCACCGUGACUAGCAGGCGGUAUGAUUCGCUAACGUCAGAUGUGAUCAGUUAUACCCGGGCUCAACCUGGGAAUUGCAUUGGAGACUGCAAGGCUAGAAUCUGGCAGAGGGGGGUAGAAUUCCACCUGUAGCAGUGAAAUGCGUAGAUAUGUGGAGGAACACCGAUGGCGAAGGCAGCCCCCUGGGUCAAGAUUGACGCUCAUGCACGAAAGCGUGGGGACCAAACAGGAUUAGAUACCCUGGUAGUCCACGCCCUAAACAAUGUCUACUAGUUGUCGGGUCUUAAUUGACUUGGUAACGCAGCUAACGCGUGAAGUAGACCCCCUGGGGAGUACGGUCGCAAGAUUAAAACUUCAAAGGAAUUGACGGGGACCCCGCACACAGCGGUGGAUGAUGUGGAUUAAUUUCGAUGCAACCGCGGAAAAACCUUUACCUACCCCUUGACAUGGCUGGGAUCCUUUGAGAGAUCCAGGGAGUUGUCUCGAAAAAGAAACCCAGUACACAGGUGCUGCAUGGCCUGUCGUCAGCUCGUGUCGUGGAAAUGCUAGGUUAAGUUCCAGCAAACGAGGCGCAACCACUGGUCACUUAGUUGCUACGAAAGGGCACUCUAAUGAGACUGCCGGUGACAAACCGGAGGAAGGUGGGGAUGACGUCAAGUCCUCAUGGCCCUUAUGGGUAGGGCUUCACACGUCAUACAAUGGUACAUACAGAGCGCCGCCAACCCGCGAGGGGGAGCUAAUCGCAGAAAGUGUAUCGUAGUCCGGAUUGUAGUCUGCAACUCGACUGCAUGAAGUUGGAAUCGCUAGUAAUCGCGGAUCAGCAUGUCGCGGUGAAUACGUUCCCGGGUCUUGUACACACCGCCCGUCACACCAUGGGAGCGGGUUUUUCCAGAAGUAGGUAGCUUAAAAAAAAGGAAGGAAGGGCAUUCGCG